rnacentral:rRNA from 1 species
AACGAACGCUGGCGGCAGGCUUAACACAUGCAAGUCGAACGCACCUUUCGGGGUGAGUGGCAGACGGGUGAGUAACGCGUGGGAAUCUACCCUUCUCUACGGGAUAGCUCCGGGAAACUGGAAUUAAUACCGUAUACGUCCUGAGGGAGAAAGAUUUAUCGGGGAAGGAUGAGCCCGCGUUGGUUUAGCUGGUUGGUGGGGUAAAGGCCUACCACGGCGACGAUCCAUAGCUGGUCAAAGAGGAAGAUCAGCCACAUUGGGACUGAGACACGGCCCAAACUCCUACGGGAGGCAGCAGUGGGUAAUAUUGGACAAUGGGCGCAAUCCUGAUCCAGCCAGGCCGCGUGAGUGAUGAAGGCCCUAGGGUUGUAAAGCUCUUUCAGUGGGGACGAUAAUGACGGUACCCACAGAAGAAGCCCCGGCUAACUUCGUG